UACAGAGGGUGCAAGCGUUGUUCGGAAUCACUGGGCUUAAAGGGCGCGUAGGCGGGCAGCCAAGUCCGGGGUGAAAGCUUUCGGCUUAACCGGAAAAGAGCCUUGGAUACUGGCUGUCUCGAGGGAGGUAGGGGUCUGUGGAACUUCCAGUGGAGCGGUGAAAUGCGUAGAUAUUGGAAGGAACGCCGGUGGCGAAAGCGACGGACUGGACCUCUUCUGACGCUGAGGCGCGAAAGCCAGGGGAGCAAACGGG
rnacentral:rRNA from 1 species